CCCGGGCGUUGAGUUCGUAGGCGCAGCCCUAGAGAAGUCAACAUGCCGGUUGCCAGAAGUUGGGUUUGUCGCAAAACCUAUGUGACUCCACGGAGACCCUUCGAGAAAUCGCGUCUCGACCAGGAACUGAAGUUGAUCGGAGAGUAUGGGCUCCGGAACAAACGUGAGGUGUGGAGGGUCAAGUUUACCUUGGCCAAGAUCCGCAAGGCUGCCCGGGAGCUGCUGACGCUGGACGAAAAGGACCCGCGGCGUCUUUUUGAAGGCAAUGCUCUACUGAGGCGACUUGUUCGAAUUGGUGUGCUGGAUGAGGGCAAGAUGAAGCUGGAUUACAUUCUGGGCCUGAAGAUUGAGGAUUUCUUGGAGAGGAGGCUGCAGACCCAGGUGUUUAAGCUGGGCCUGGCCAAAUCUAUUCACCAUGCCCGAGUGCUUAUCCGCCAGCGUCAUAUCAGCCCUCGGGAGGUGACAAGUGUGAGUUUACCUUGAGGGUUCAGAAUCACCCUGCAAACAGCUUAUGGGGAAAUUGGAGACAGCCUUGUCUCCCUGUAGUCCAGCGCAAGGGUCACUGCGGCGUAAGCCGUACACCUUGCAAAAGUGUCUGCCAAGCAUGCAAGCAGCUGGACAGUUGACAGUCCACCUGACUGAAGUGAUAAUGCAAAGACUAGUUAGGGGUCCGCAAGCAGGUGGUGAACAUCCCAUCCUUCAUUGUCCGUCUGGACUCCCAGAAGCACAUUGACUUCUCGCUCCGUUCUCCUUAUGGUGGUGGCCGCCCAGGCAGAGUGAAGAGAAAGAAUGCCAAGAAAGGCCAGGGUGGUGCUGGAGCUGGUGAUGAUGAGGAAGAAGAUUAAAUUAAUACCUUUCUGGACUGGA